AAUCACUAGUCUUUUAAUUGGAGGCUUGUAUGAAUGGUUGAAUGAGAUAUAUACUGUCUUUUUUAAAAUUAUAUAGAAUUUUAUUUUUUAAUUAAAAAGUUAAAAUAAAAUUAAAGGACGAGAAGACCCUAUAGAUCUUUAUUUUUGUUAUUUAUAAAUUAAAAAGAAUUUUAAAAUUUAUAAUUUAAUAAAAAAUUUUAUUGGGGUGAUAUUAAAAUUUAAAAAACUUUUAAAAUUUAUUAACAUAAAUAUAUGAAUAAAUGAUCCAGUUUUAUUGAUUAAAAAUUUAAGUUACCUUAGGGAUAA
rnacentral:rRNA from 1 species